GAUGAACGCUGGCGGCGUGCUUAACACAUGCCAGUCGAACGGAAAGGCCGAAGCUUGCUUCGGUACUCGAGUGGCGAACGGGUGAGUAACACGUGGGUGAUCUGCCCUGUACUUCGGGAUAAGCUUGGGAAACUGGGUCUAAUACCGGAUAUGACGAUCUCUUGGAUGGGGUUGUGGAAAGCUUUUGCGGUAUGGGAUGAGCUCGCGGCCUAUCAGCUUGUUGGUGGGGUAAUGGCCUACCAAGGCGUCGACGGGUAGCCGGCCUGAGAGGGUGUACGGCCACAUUGGGACUGUGAUACGGCCCAGACUCCUACGGGAGGCAGCAGUGGGGAAUAUUGCACAAUGGGCGCAAGCCUGAUGCAGCGACGCCGCGUGGGGGAUGACGGCCUUCGGGUUGUAAACUCCUUUCGCAAUCGACGAAGCCUUUUGGUGACGGUAGGUUGAGAAGAAGCACCGGCUAACUACGUG
rnacentral:rRNA from 1 species